rnacentral:lncRNA from 1 species
CUAUCAAUUCACAUCUUCCUCGUCCAAACAUUCCUCCUUACCACCCCUAUACUUAUCCAACACAACAAAACCAAACAAACCAAAGACCACCACCUGCCUCCUAUACUUAUCCAACACAGCAAAACCAAAGGCCACCACCUGCCUCCUAUACUUAUCCAACACAGCAAAACCAAACAAACCAAAGACCACCACCUGCCUCCUAUACUUAUUCAACACAGCAAAACCAAACAAACCAAAGACCACCACCAGCUUUCUACAACAGAAGACCUGCCUCUAAUGCCCUGCAGGGAC